GAAAGCGAUUUUAUUCUAUUUUGCAAAAAUAGAUUUGAUUCUGUUAGGAAUCCGCUUUCU
rnacentral:tRNA from 1 species